AUGGUAAGAGUUUCAUAUUUGUUUAAUCUUGUUCUUGUUCUUCUCAAGCUACAUACAAAUCCUGGUUUGUACACACAAGUUAUGUCACGUGGUAUUUGUGAAUUUAUUUGUAAUAAAAUUAGAUUGGAAAAUGUAAACCAUUGCUUAUAUGGUUCAACAGAUAAUAAUAUGGUUAAAAUAAUAUUAUAUGUUAUUUUCAUCCUUAGGCAUCAAUGUCUUUCUAUCAAAUUACUUAGCAUGGAAAUUCACCAUAGACACAAUUUGAAGUCUUAG